rnacentral:rRNA from 1 species
UACAGAGGUCUCAAGCGUUGUUCGGAUUCAUUGUGCGUAAAGGGUGCGUAGGCGGCGCGGUAAGUCGGGUGUGAAAUCUCGGGGCUUAACUCCGAAACUGCAUUCGAUACUGCCGUGCUUGAGGACUGGAGAGGAGACUGGAAUUUACGGUGUAGCGGUGAAAUGCGUAGAUAUCGUAAGGAAGACCAGUGGCGAAGGCGGGUCUCUGGACAGUUCCUGACGCUGAGGCACGAAGGCCAGGGGAGCAAACGGG